rnacentral:rRNA from 1 species
UACGAAGGGGGCUAGCGUUGCUCGGAAUCACUGGGCGUAAAGCGCACGUAGGCGGCUUCUUAAGUCAGGGGUGAAAUCCUGGAGCUCAACUCCAGAACUGCCUUUGAUACUGCAAAUCUCGAGUCCGGAAGAGGUGAGUGGAAUUCCUAGUGUAGAGGUGAAAUUCGUAGAUAUUAGGAAGAACACCAGUGGCGAAGGCGGCUCACUGGUCCGGUACUGACGCUGAGGUGCGAAAGCGUGGGGAGCAAACAGG